UGCCCUAGUAACAGCAAUUUAGCCUAAGGACAACUCAGGGUCCAACAAGAUCCCGUGACAGCAAGCACACUGUGUCUACCUAGGUUUGGGCUGUUUUCUGGGAUGAACACUACCCACAAUUCAACAUGAUUGAAGACGAAGGUUCAAUGGAAAAUAUCAUUCCAGCACUGUGUGUUCUAUAACCAUGGCAGUUCUGAGGGCAGCAGAAUCCAUUACAGUUGGAAGGAUUUAAAACCAGAAAAGGCCUGUGAUUGGACAGGAAUGGAGAGGUGGAGCUAGAGUUGAAGAAGAAAAAAGGGUCAGGAGAGAACGAGAUGUCAUCAUUAUGGAUGCAGACAAUGAGGAUGGUCCAGACCCCACAGGGCUAUACAACCAAGCAGGUUUUUACAAAAGAGAUUAAUUGGGUCAUUAAAACAAAAAUUAAAGCGAAACACCACAAUGGAUCAAAAAAUAUAUGAAGAAUAUUCCUACUAAGCAACAAAGAAUAUACAUUCUCCUGAGUAGUGUAUAGAAUCCUCUUAAACACAGACCAUAUCCAGAGAAGUGUGGAGAGCUGUAGAGCUGGAGAGGCAUUCGCCUUGACAAGAUGGCGCCUACAUCCUCUGUCGACUCCUGGUAAACAACUGUUUGCGCAUGUGCGUAGAGUGAAAAGGCG